GUAGGUGGCAAGCGUUGUCCGGAAUUAUUGGGCGUAAAGCGCGCGCAGGCGGUUCUUUAAGUCUGAUGUGAAAGCCCACGGCUCAACCGUGGAGGGUCAUUGGAAACUGGAGAACUUGAGUACAGAAGAGGAAAGCGGAAUUCCACGUGUAGCGGUGAAAUGCGUAGAGAUGUGGAGGAACACCAGUGGCGAAGGCGGCUUUCUGGUCUGUAACUGACGCUGAGGCGCGAAAGCGUGGGGAGCAAACAGGGAUUAGAUACCAUGGUAGUCCACGCCGUAAACGAUGAGUGCUAAGUGUUAGGGGGGUUUCCGCCCCCCUUAGUGCUGCAGCUAACGCAUUAAGCACUCCGCCUGGGAGUACGGCCGCAAGGCUG
rnacentral:rRNA from 1 species